GUCCAGGUGGUGUAAUGGUAACACCCUUGCUAGAUAUGUAGAAGCCCUGGGUUCAAUUCCCAGGCUGGCCA